UACGUAGGGUGCAAGCGUUAAUCGGAAUUACUGGGCGUAAAGCGUGCGCAGGCGGUCUUGCAAGACAGAUGUGAAAUCCCCGGGCUUAACCUGGGAACUGCAUUUGUGACUGCAAGGCUGGAGUGCGGCAGAGGGGGAUGGAAUUCCACGUGUAGCGGUGAAAUGCGUAGAGAUGUGGAGGAACACCGAUGGCGAAGGCAGCCUCCUGGGCCAACACUGACGCUCAUGCACGGAAGCGUGGGGAGCAAACAGG
rnacentral:rRNA from 1 species